UACGAGGGGGGGCAAGCGUUGUUCGGAAUUAUUGGGCGUAAAGGGUGCGUAGGCGGUCUGACAAGUCUGAUGUGAAAUCUAUGGGCUCAACCCAUAGCCUGCAUCGGAAACUGUCGGGCUUGAGUAUGGGGAGAGGUGAGUGGAAUUUUCCGGUGUAGCGGUGAAAAUGCGUAGAUAUCGGAAAGGAACACCUGUGGCGAAAAGCGGCUCACUGGACCAUUCUG
rnacentral:rRNA from 1 species